rnacentral:lncRNA from 1 species
CACUGCAGUAUGAGCCUGAGAAUGACCAGAGAAGAAGGAAUGAUCACUGUGGAUGACCUGCAAAAGUUUCUGAAAUAGGGGAUCUGGUAUCCUCUGGUGGAGUUUAUGUGUGACCAUGCCUCCAUCCUAAACCAUCUGCUGUCCUUCUAGACCUGGCUUUUCAGCUCUUCAGCCUUGGGACUGUUGGCAUUUGGGACAGGAUAAGUCUUUGGGAAUGGGGGCUUCCCUAUGCAUUGUAGGAUUUUCAGCAGCAUCUCUGGCCUCCACCCACUGGAUCCCAGUGGUACUUGUCUCCCUCAUCUCCAGAUGUGACAAUAAAAAAUAUUGCCAAAUGCCACCUGAAGAGCAAAAUCACCUCCAGAUGCCACUUGAAUCACAGAGCAGAUCGAAAC